UAAAAAUCACCGAUUCUUCUCCCGAUUGCGCUGAUCAAUAGUGAGAGCUCGACGGUUGCUGCAGCACCCGAUCGCGCCGACGUCGUGUCACAAGUCGAGUCUCUGACCUCCUCUACUCCUUAAUGGAAGUAUCAUCUGUAGAGUUCCUCUCCGAAAAGCUGCCUCGCGCAAGGGAUGUUCGGUCGAGCGAGGAGAUUUGAGCUCCGGUGUCGCUAGGGUUGAAUCGCCGAUUUCUGUGCUCAAUCUUAGUUGAGAGUUUGUGCUCCAAACGGCGGCCUCGUCUUCCCGAGCCCUAGAGCAGAGCUGAUUUCGCUGGGUUUCCCUUCGUCGAUUAUGGUGGUUUCUAUCAUCAAGUGCCUCACAGUAAAAGACUUGGCUGCAAAUCUCCAGCAGCAGGUAUCACCGGCGGGGAGCCUCAGUAGUUAUUUUCCGGCCAUGAAUCAGUAGCUUUGUAGAAGCUCCGAUUGUGGAUCCGUGGCAGCGGACAACACCAUUGUGCUUGUGCCGGCAAUAGCACCUCCUGGCAGUGGGGCAGUCGAGGUCUUUGAUCGAGGCUGGUGUCGCGACGAAGGUGACAUCGGAUUCAAACUACAUUUAGAGGCGGGUGCAUCUUGACUUGUUUGUUUAGCUACUGCCCUUAGUGCAUGAGUUAUUUGUGGAUUAGAGUAUAUGUUUACCUUAACUCCACUUGUAUUAGUUCUUGUGCUUGAUACUUUAUCCACUCAACCUUCGAGAUGCCCAGAUUUAUAUCUAUACAGUCUCACAUUAUUAUCCCUGAUAAUUAACAGAUACUAGACACUAUGUUUACUUGUUAGACUACUGUUUAUUUAUGUAUC